ensembl:snRNA U6 U6 spliceosomal RNA
GUGCGCACUUCAGCAGCACAUAUACUAAAAUUGGAACAAUACAGAAAAGAUUUGCACACCCCCU